rnacentral:rRNA from 1 species
UACGGGGGGGGGCAAGCGUUGUUCGGAAUUACUGGGCGUAAAGGGUUCGUAGGUGGCCAACUAAGUCAGACGUGAAAUCCCUCAGCUUAACUGGGGAACUGCGUCUGAUACUGGUUGGCUUGAGUGCAGGAGAGGAAUGCGGAAUUCCAGGUGUAGCGGUGAAAUGCGUAGAUAUCGGGAAGAACACCCGUGGCGAAGGCGGCUCUCUGGGACGGUACUGACGCUGAGACGCGAAAGCGUGGGGAGCGAACAGG